UACGUAGGCAGCAAGCGUUGUUCGGAAUUACUGGGCGUAAAGCGUGCGCAGGCGGUCUGUUAAGACCGAUGUGAAAUCCCCGGGCUUAACCUGGGAACUGCAUCUGUGACUGCAUAGCUAGAGUGCGGGAGAGGAGAGUGGAAUUCCUGGUGUAGCGGUGAAAUGCGCAGAUAUCAGGAAGAACACCCGUGGCGAAGGCGGCUCUCUGGAACGCAACUGACGCUGAGACGCGAAAGCGUGGGGAGCAAACAGG
rnacentral:rRNA from 1 species